UGCAAGUCGAGCGGAGUUGUGGUGCUUGCACCAUAACUUAGCGGCGGACGGGUGAGUAAUGCUUAGGAAUCUGCCUAUUAGUGGGGGACAACGUUUCGAAAGGAACGCUAAUACCGCAUACGCCCUACGGGGGAAAGCAGGGGAUCUUCGGACCUUGCGCUAAUAGAUGAGCCUAAGUCAGAUUAGCUAGUUGGUGGGGUAAAGGCCUACCAAGGCGACGAUCUGUAGCGGGUCUGAGAGGAUGAUCCGCCACACUGGGACUGAGACACGGCCCAGACUCCUACGGGAGGCAGCAGUGGGGAAUAUUGGACAAUGGGGGGAACCCUGAUCCAGCCAUGCCGCGUGUGUGAAGAAGGCCUUUUGGUUGUAAAGCACUUUAAGCGAGGAGGAGGCUACUGAUACUAAUACCUCUGGUAAGUGGACGUUACUCGCAGAAUAAGCACCGGCUAACUCUGUGCCAGCAGCCGCGGUAAUACAGAGGGUGCGAGCGUUAAUCGGAUUUACUGGGCGUAAAGCGUACGUAGGCGGCUUUUUAAGUCGGAUGUGAAAUCCCUGAGCUUAACUUAGGAAUUGCAUUCGAUACUGGGAAGCUAGAGUAUGGGAGAGGAUGGUAGAAUUCCAGGUGUAGCGGUGAAAUGCGUAGAGAUCUGGAGGAAUACCGAUGGCGAAGGCAGCCAUCUGGCCUAAUACUGACGCUGAGGUACGAAAGCAUGGGGAGCAAACAGGAUUAGAUACCCUGGUAGUCCAUGCCGUAAACGAUGUCUACUAGCC
rnacentral:rRNA from 1 species